rnacentral:tRNA from 1 species
GCCCGGGUGGCGGAAUGGCAGACGCGCCGGACUCAAAAUCCGGUGUCCCCUAAAGACGUGUGGGUUCAAGUCCCACCCCGGGCACCA